rnacentral:rRNA from 1 species
UACAGAGGUCUCAAGCGUUGUUCGGAUUUAUUGGGCGUAAAGGGUGCGUAGGCGGCGCGGUAAGUCGGGUGUGAAAUCUUGGAGCUUAACUCCGAGACUGCAUUCGAUACUGCCGUGCUUGAGGACUGGAGAGGAGACUGGAAUUUACGGUGUAGCGGUGAAAUGCGUAGAUAUCGUAAGGAAGACCAGUGGCGAAGGCGGGUCUCUGGACAGUUCCUGACGCUGAGGCACGAAGGCCAGGGGAGCAAACGGG